rnacentral:rRNA from 1 species
GACGUAGGGCGCGAGCGUUGUCCGGAUUUAUUGGGCGUAAAGAGCUCGUAGGCGGCUUGUCGCGUCGACCGUGAAAACUUGGGGCUCAACCCCAAGCUUGCGGUCGAUACGGGCAUCACUGGAGUUCGGCAGGGGAGACUGGAAUUCCUGGUGUAGCGGUGAAAUGCGCAGAUAUCAGGAGGAACACCGGUGGCGAAGGCGGGUCUCUGGGCCGAUACUGACGCUGAGGAGCGAAAGCGUGGGGAGCGAACAGG